CGUGGUGUUUUUUAACAGUAAACUUUGUGUUAAAAACGUAUUUUGGAGUGUGUGUUUAUCAUGCAUUAAUGUAUCCCUAUGUGACCCAAAUUCGACGAUGUAACGGUUACAUGAAGCAAUAUUUAGCAAAUAAUGAAAGAAAUAAUGAAAUGUUUAAUAGCACAAAAUAAUAAUUUUAAACUCGUCUGUAUUACUUUGAAAUGAUUCCAAGACAAUAACCAUCCAUUUAAUCAAUACAAAUAGAACAUCGUCGAAUUUAGGUGUCGUCGAAUUUGGGUUGCGGUAGGAUAUAUUUCGAUAGGAAUACACUAAAAUAGUGUGGUUUGAACUUAGUUCCGAUAAAGACAUGGAAGAUAGAAGUGGAUAUCGUUUAAACAUUUUUGUUAUAAACAUCGGAUUAAAGUUGUCAACUUAAUUGUUAUAAAAAUUGGAUUAACGAUGGCAAUAAGGUGGUUUCAGGGACUUCUUCUGUUCCCGCCCGCUGGCAGAAAUGCGCCUCCACUGUGAACGCUGUCAUGCCGGAAGUGAUUGGGCGGCUGUUUGUGGAAACCGCUUUCAAGGAUGACUCCAAGACAGAUGUAUUGGAUCUUGAAGACAAGAUACGCGAGACAUUCAUGGAAAUGAUUGACCACCUCGACUGGAUGAGUUACACAACCAAACAGUUUGCUAAGGAAAAGGCCAAUUACAUAGACACACAAAUCGGUUACCAAGAUCUUGUCUACAAAAACGACGAACUGAACGAUAUGCAAAAACAUGUGACUGUAGACGACAGCGACCCUCUGAAGACUCUUGCCAGUUUCGAAAAGGCCUCGGUUAUACGCAAACUUCUGCAGCUGAGGAAGGACUUUGACAAAUCAGAAUCGGCUCCUAGCGUCGGAUUGUAGCACUCUGUAUUUGGUGGCACUUUUCCCCAGCAACCGUGAAUGCCAUUUAUUCACCAACUGGUAAUUCCAUAAUAUUCCAUGCUGUCAUUCUUCAACCGCCAUAUUAUUCACACGACCAACCUGCGCCGUAAGUAUGACAAAGAGGGAAACCUUAAGUCCUGAUGGGCGGCGGACGACGGCUCGAAGUUUGAGGAGCGUGCUCAGUGCAUCAUAGAUCAGUACAACGGCUACGUGGUGCCAGGAACAGGCAACAUGACUAUUAAUGGUAUUAAUACCUUAGGAGAAAACAUUGCGGAUAACGGUGGCAUCAAAGCAAGCUUCAAAGCGUACCGGAAGUGGGUGAACAGUUCAAGAGGAGGCAAGGAGGAGCCGAAACUACCCGGACUUCCCUACACACCGAAUCAGCUAUUUUUUCUCAAUGCUGCACAGAUUUGGUGCUCAAGUACUAGAGAUCAAGCGAAGAUGGCGCUCAUUCUUACGGGAACACAUAGCAUAUCGGAUUACAGGGUGCACGGUACCCAUCUGAACAAGAAUGUGCGUGUGACGCGACACACAAAACAGAGUCAACGGAAAUGACUAUGAAGUUGGGCGUGUGUUUGAUGUGACAUAUCGACUAUUGAUGAAUGACAUUUGAUAUUUAAAAAAUUUGAACUAUUUAUGUCAUCAUCAUAAUCAUCAUCAUCAUCAUUCCUGUAAUAAGAAAAAAAAAACAGAAAAAGAUCAACAUCUUUAUGUUCGGAAGUAUAGACUUAGAUGAAUACAUGUGCCAUACGUGUGCAACUUCAGAUUGAACAAACAACAAUCUAAAACAAUCUUACUAAUAUAUUUACACAAAUUAGUUAAUAUAGUUUACAUGGUUUCCGAGAUGAAGAACGCUUAUCCGGUUAGGUCAAGAACAAGAAAAUAGGGCGAGCUUAAGCGUAAACGAAUAAUCCUGCGUCGGUACGGUCAUUCGAUUUCGUAAAUAAGUCAGAAUAGUUUGCAUUCGUUUAAAACGUUUUCAACGAAUAGUGUGGUUUAAAAUACAUUUUUAUAAAUGGAUUAAAGAACUGAAAAUGGAAGUGCAUACCGUUGACAUUGUAUUUUUUUAUGAUCAUUGGAUUAAAAGUGUCAUUCCGGUAAUCGGGUCGUUUACUUAAUUUUGUUUUUAUGGCCUGUGUUAAAUCUCAAAGAAAGUCAUUAAUCAAAUAUAUAGUACGGUUUCAGUUGAAAUCAAUAGUUUAUUUUUUUCAGUAUAAGAGGCGCGAUCUGAUUCUUUUCAGAUAUGAAAAAUCGGCCCGACUAUAUACCCGCCGAUACAAUUGAGGUUUGUCUUGCUAUUGCAUUUUUUUCAUUUCAAACCGAAAAAAAUCACAUUCUUGAUUCGUUAUUUUUUUUUCUCUGAUUUUCAAUAGGAAAGUUUUCAAAUGAACAUUUAAAUAUAACAUUUAAAACAUGAUAUUUUUACUUGACACAAUCGGCAAUCAUUCGGUCCUCAAAAAUGUUGUGUACAUGUAAAAGGCCCGACCAGAAUAAUUAUUAAGUUUAGUCAAUUAGUCAUUUGUUUUUGAUAAAAUGUGUUAACGGCAUAUUUUACAAUUAUGCCGGAUAUAUCGAUAUCGUUAUAGCUCGCCCUAUUUUCUUGGUCUAGGCCUCACCGGAUAAACUUUCUCCAUCUCGGCACCAACUAUGUAUUCACUAUAUUUUUUUUUAUAAGAAAAUAAUAUCUACUUUUUUAUUAUGAACUAUGAACGUGUUUACUUUAAUGUUCCAGUUGAUAAAUUAUAUUUAAUCUUAAUAGUUUUCUUCAAAUAAGACAACACAAAGAUACAAAAGGGCCUUGAUUAACUUGAAGACCCCACCUAGAUUCAAGGGUCACCAAUUAUCCAAGACUUGACCAAGUGACAAUUGUCUUAGACCCACUUGACCCAGAUUCAGUUUCAUCAAGGUCGAGUCUUUAGUGUUGCCUUAACAUAGUUUUUCUAAAAUUCGACAUGUUUACCAAUUUUGGACGCAUGUUAUCCACAUUCAACUGGGUCCACUUAUUGCGAAGAUAAACAUUCUAACCAUGUUCCAUAAAGAUCUUAUGUAAAAUAUGGUCUCAUGUUUGGUGAAAGAUCAAUAAUGACGACACACGACUCUCAACGACAGACGCCGAACAUCGGGUGAUCACAAUGGCUCACUUAAAACACCAGCCGCAUUACAACAAAUAUUAAUAAUGGACAUAUCAGCUACAUAGCAAAACUAAACAUUUUAAAAUGAAUAAAAUUUGCCAUGAAGUCAUUAAGUUAGCUCAUGUUGUCUGUGUUGGAACUAGUAUAUGCAGUAAACACCACAUAACAUUAUUGUUAUUGAUUAUUUGAUGAAACAAUUAAGAAGGCUACUUUAUAGAAACAGUUAUCAGUUUUAAAAUACAUUUUUCUUCAUUCGCUGAACAAUUA